rnacentral:ncRNA from 1 species
GGGGAUAUGGCGAAAUCGGUAGACGCUACGGACUUAAUUGAAUUGAGCCUUGGUAUGGAAACCCACUAAGUGAUAACUUUCAAAUUCAGAGAAACCCUGGAAUUAAUAAAAAGGGGCAAUUCUGAGCCAAAUCCCGUUUUCCGAAACCAAAGGUUCAGAAAGUGAAAAAGGAUAGGUGCAGAGACUCAACGGAAGCUGUUCUAACAAAUGGAGUUGGCUGCGUUAGUAGAGAAAUCUUUCCAUCGAAAAUUCCGAAAGGAUAAAGUAUAAAGUGAAGGAUAAACGUAUAUAUACGUAUUGAAUACUAUAUCAAAUGAUUAAUGACGACUCGACUGAAUCUGUAUUUUUUAUAUGAAAACGGAAGAAUUGGUGUGAAUAGAUUCCACAUUGAAGAAAGAAUCGAAUAUUCAUUGAUCAAAUGAUUCACUCCAUAGUCUGAUAGAUCUUUUCAAGAAUUGAUUAAUCGGACGAGAAUAAAGAUAGAGUCCCGUUCUACAUGUCAAUGUCGGCAACAAUGAAAUUUAUAGUAAGAGGAAAAUCCGUCGACUUUAAAAAUCGUGAGGGUUCAAGUCCCUCUAUCCCCAA